rnacentral:rRNA from 1 species
CAGCACGUCAUGGUGGGCACUCUAAGGAGACUGCCGGUGACAAACCGGAGGAAGGUGGGGAUGACGUCAAGUCAUCAUGGCCCUUACGGCCUGGGCUACACACGUGCUACAAUGGUCGGUACAGAGGGUUGCCAAGCCGCGAGGUGGAGCUAAUCCCACAAAACCGAUCGUAGUCCGGAUCGCAGUCUGCAACUCGACUGC